CCCGGUCUUUUACUUUAGUUCCUUGCUUCCGCUGGUUUUGACCGGGCCACUGUUGGAAGCUGAAUAAUCCGUAAGGAGCAACCAAUG
rfam:Enterovibrio coralii strain CAIM 912 contig00070, whole genome shotgun sequence.